UGUAUUUCUGCAAGAGGACAGACAAGAACAAAGUGAGGUAAAAUCAGAGCUGCAGAAGUUCCUGUUUUCCUGACAGGAAGAAGAGAAUAUCCUUUAUUGAAGGUCUUGAAGAAGAAAUAUAACCAGACUGAGUCAAGAGUGAUUUUGUUCCUUUACAUCGCUCUGUUGCCUCAAGAAAAUAUUACAGGAGUUAAAGAGAACACAAUUAGUCCAGAGGUAUUCAGGGUUGGGUGAUCACACAGCA